GAGCAGAAUGCCGUUUUAAAGUCAAUUAUGCUAAAAGUCUCACAACUUGUCAAAAAUAUGAAGCUUCUGAGAUGUGGAGCAUGGAAGAGACAGCAGAAAUUCUGAUUCAUCACCAAAGUGUUUGAUACACCAAGCAUCCAGCUUCAACCAAAAGAAACGAGUGAGCUUCCAAAAAUGUUCCUUUGUAGAUAAGAUGUCGUCUACUUUCCUACCUGGGAGAGGAGCUGAAUGAGCAAGGCCAGCCUGAAUGCCUCAAACUCCUGGGGAAUUUUCUCUUGGAAGCCAGUGGCAGCUUCACAUCUUUGUGUUAAUGUGUGACCAGGAAUAUGCCAAUUUGAUUCACUGCUCUGGAAAUACAGGCAGAAAUGUCAGUAAGAAAUUGGCAGGGUUCUACAGCCGUGGUCUGGCUUUGCCAUUCAAAGUUUAUCAUUCUGCUGAGAAAGCCUUGAGGAUUCCCAAAGCAAUGGUGUGAAAAUCAAGGUAAGCAGUGACUAAAUUAAGUGCAGAGACUAAAUUAAAAUUGGACAUUGUAUUGUGUGCCCAUAGCUGGAAA